CAAACGACUCUCGGCAACGGAUAUCUCGGCUCUCGCAUCGAUGAAGAACGUAGCGAAAUGCGAUACUUGGUGUGAAUUGCAGAAUCCCGUGAACCAUCGAGUUUUUGAACGCAAGUUGCGCCCAAAGCCAUCCGGYYGAGGGCACGCCUGCCUGGGCGUCACGC
rnacentral:rRNA from 2 species